rnacentral:rRNA from 1 species
AUGCUUGAGACAAAGAGUAUCGAGGCAUGGACUCGUACGGAAAUACCAUUUAAAACUUGCGUUGAGAUUCAGGUCUUUUUUAACGGGGUUAUGGAAGCAUUCUUCUUUUCUUGGUACAUUUUCCUUUUGCUAAUUCCAGGAGUACGACUGGAUCAACUGGUCUACUUAAUCGAUGGGGACGCAAAAUUGAGGGCAUUUUUGAUUAAGACUGCAAAUUCUGUCUGUUACACACCAGCAAAUAUGCAUAUACUAGAGGCUAUGUGUGCUUCGUUGCGCUGUUCUUCACUCGUGGGAUUAAUUCUUUUUUCUCUAGUAGAUUAUUAUGGUCGGUUGUUUUAUUUGGUUUUAUCUACGGUGGCUUGGCUUUUAAUUAUUUUUCAUUUGUAUAUCUUGUUGGGUCGUCGUUGUAGACGAUAUUUGUUUUGA